rnacentral:rRNA from 1 species
AAACCAACCGGGAUUGCCUCAGUAACGGCGAGUGAAGCGGCAAAAGCUCAAAUUUGAAAUCUGGCACUUUCAGUGUCCGAGUUGUAAUUUGUAGAAGUAGUUUUGGGACUGGUCCUUAUCUAUGUUUCUUGGAACAGGACGUCAUAGAGGGUGAGAACCCCGUAUGAUGAGGCCCCCAGUCCUUUGUAAAACGCUUUCGAAGAGUCGAGUUGUUUGGGAAUGCAGCUCUAAGUGGGUGGUAAAUUCCAUCUAAAGCUAAAUAUUGGCGAGAGACCGAUAGCGAACAAGUACAGUGAUGGAAAGAUGAAAAGAACUUUGAAAAGAGAGUGAAAAAGUACGUGAAAUUGUUGAAAGGGAAGGGCAUUUGAUCAGACAUGGUGUUUUGCGCCCUUUGCUCCUUGUGGGCGGAGGAUACGCAGCUCACUGGGCCAACAUCAGUUUUGGGAGCAGGAUAAAUCUGUAGGAACGUAGCUUUCUUCGGGAAGUAUUAUAGCCUACGGGGAUACUGCUACCUGGGA